rnacentral:lncRNA from 1 species
ACUGCCUGCAGCUUCUGUUGCACCUGGGGCAGAGCUACGCUUGGCUGCUGACACCUAUGAGAAGGCAGGCAUGGUGGACCUUCCGCAAAGCUUGGGGAAGCAUCUUUGCAAGGAUCUUUGGGUGGGGAAUCAGAGCUAAUAAAAUUGAUAUUUGGCUGGGCAUGGUGGCUUACACUUGUAAUCCCAGCACGUUGAGAGGCUGAGGUGGGCAGAUUCACUCGAGGUCAGUCAGGAGUUCGAGAUCAGCCUGGCCAACAUGAUGAAACCCUGUCCCUACUAAAAAUACAAUAAUUAGCCAGGUGUGGUGGCAGGCACCUGUAAUCCCAGCUACUUGGGAGACUGAGGCAGGAAAAUUGCUUGAACCCAGGAGGCAGUG